GGAGCUGACUGUGUCAAACAAGGCAAGAUGUUGAACUAUGCUUGCGUAGGUUGAAGCCAGAGGAAGCUCUGGUGGAGGAGCACAUGUUUUCUGACGUGUAACUCGAUCAUUAAACGAUUGGGCGAAAGACGGGCCGAACCAGCUCGUAGUUGGUUCCCUGCGAAGUCUUUCGCAGGAUAGCUGACACUCAUUCGCAUGACCAGUUUUAUUCGGUAAAGCGAAUGAUUAGAGGUAGUGAGUUCGAAACGAGCUCAACCUAUUCUAAAACUUUAAAUAGGUGAGAUGCCUGGCUAGCUGUAGAGGAAUCAGGCACUGAAUGUGCGAGUGUCAAGUGGGACAUUUUUGGUAAGCAGAACUGGCACUGUGAGAUGAACCAAAGCAGCGUCUAGGAGCCAGUUGUAAUUUUCUUCAGGUGGUCCUUUAACCGAUUUUGAGCAGUUUCAAGGAAAUGGAUC
rnacentral:ncRNA from 1 species